UGUUCCCCUGAGAGAGAAACACCCACCACACUGCAAAAAAAAUCCACCCACCUAACCCAGUUAAACAUCGCUCUAAUUAUUUGACCUUUAAUCAAACAUAUGCUAUCAAAACUCCUGCUUAGUGAGUGUUUGGUUGUUUUCAAUGCACCUGGUAUUUAUAUUCGGGGAAGGUUUUUACUAAGACUAAUGAGUAGGCCUAAUUGUGGACUCUUUUUCAAGAUACAGGGUGAAAAACCGUACAUUUAAUUACGCUUUUUUUUUUUUUUUAGAAACAAGUAGGAUGGUCUCACUUUGGCUGUUUCAGCCAUAGACAUAGUCAUCCUACCUGAUGGACAAAUACAUCAACCGGUUCGUCCAGUGGUACUCCCUCACGGUUGGUCAUGGACAGGAACCCGAAGCCCAUGCGGACAUUGAACCAUUUACACACGCCGACCCCGUGGAAAGACUGUGAAUCCUCCUCGGUGCUCGGUCCCUCAUCCUCCUCGGUCUUACACACUCCUGCAAUGAAAAGUGUUUUGUAAUUAAAAAUAAAUAAAUAAAUAAAAUCAGUAUAUUGUUGUUAAUGCGCUGAUGUUUAAAACGCAUUCACUGGUUUCCAAAAAAGGGCAUUUGAACAAGGUUUAAAACGCGAAAAACUUUAGCCUACUCCUUUCUCUAGCGUUGCAAUAUCAUCAAUCAAUAUGAAUCAAUAAAAUGAGUAACA